CGGCCGCGUCGACCGGCAGGCCUAAUACAUGCUAAGUCGAACGAUACCAGAGGGCUUGCUCUCUGGGAAAGUGGCGCACGGGUGCGUAACGCGUAUGCAACCUACCUUAAUCAGGGGGAUAGCCUCUCGAAAGAGAGAUUAACACCGCAUAAAAUCACAAGCUGGCAUCAGCAAAUGAUCAAAUGUUUAAUAGGAUUAAGAUGGGCAUGCGUGACAAUUAGUUAGUUGGUGAGGUAACGGCUCACCGAAGACGAUGAUGUCUAGGGGAUCUGAGAGGAUGACCCCCACACUGGUACUGAGACACGGACCAGACUCCGUACGGGAGGCAGCAGUAAGGAUAUGGUCAAUGGAGCAACUCUGAACCAGCCAUGCCGCGUGCAGGAAGACGGCCCUACGGGUUGAAACUGCUUUUANACGGGAAUAACCCCGAGUCGUGAUCUGGGUUGAAUGUACUGUAAGAAUAGGACUCGGCUAACUCCGUGCCAGCAGCCGCGGUAAAUCGGAGAUCCGAAGCGUUAUUACCGG
rnacentral:rRNA from 1 species